AAGGCAGCUACACGGCGACGUGAUGCUAAUCCCGAAAGCCUCUCUCAGUUCGGAUUGGAGUCUGCAACCCGACUCCAUGAAGCUGGAUUCGCUAGUAAUCGCGCAUCAGCCACGGCGCGGUGAAUACGUUCCCGGGCCUUGUACACACCGCCCGUCAAGCCAUGAAAGCCGGGGGUACCUGAAGUGCGUAACCGCAAGGAGCGCCCUAGGGUAAAACUGGUGAUUGGGGCUAAGUCGUAACAAGGUAAC
rnacentral:rRNA from 1 species